GACAGAGGGUGCAAACGUUGUUCGGAAUUACUGGGCGUAAAGCGUGUGUAGGCGGUUUCGCAAGUCGGAUGUGAAAGCCCCGGGCUCAACCCGGGAAGUGCACUCGAUACUGCGGAACUUGAGUGUGGGAGAGGUUGGUGGAAUUCUCGGUGUAGAGGUGAAAUUCGUAGAUAUCGAGAGGAACACCGGCGGCGAAGGCGGCCAACUGGACCACUACUGACGCUGGAGACACGAAAGCGUGGGGAGCAAACAGG
rnacentral:rRNA from 1 species